UACGAGGGGGGCAAGCGUUGUUCGGAAUUAUUGGGCGUAAAGGGCGCGUAGGCGGUUUGACAAGUCUGAUGUGAAAUCUAUGGGCUCAACCCAUAGCCUGCAUUAGAAACUGUCGGGCUUGAGUAUGGGAGGGGGGACUGGAAUACUUGGUGUAGCAGUGAAAUGCGUAGAUAUCAAGUGGAACACCAGUGGCGAAGGCGAGUCCCUGGACACUUCCUGACACUGAGGCACGAAAGCUAGGGGAGCAAACAGG
rnacentral:rRNA from 1 species